rnacentral:rRNA from 2 species
UGGGGAAUAUUGCGCAAUGGGGGAAACCCUGACGCAGCAACGCCGCGUGAGUGAUGAAGGUCUUCGGAUUGUAAAGCUCUGUCUUUGGGGACGAAAGAAAUGACGGUACCCAAGGAGGAAGCCACGGCUAACUACGUGCCAGCAGCCGCGGUAAUACGUAGGUGGCAAGCGUUGUCCGGAAUUACUGGGCGUAAAGGGUGCGUAGGCGGUAUGUUAAGUCAGAUGUGAAAUUCCGGAGCUUAACUUCGGAAUUGCAUUUGAAACUGGCAUGCUAGAGUGCAGGAGAGGGAAGCGGAAUUCCUAGUGUAGCGGUGAAAUGCGUAGAUAUUAGGAAGAACACCAGUCGCGAAGGCGGCUUUCUGGACUGUAACUGACGCUGAUGCACGAAAGCGUGGGGAGCAAACAGG